rnacentral:lncRNA from 1 species
GUUUUCUUUGCAAAGUAUGGUUUCUUUUUAGGUAAGCUAAGUCUCCCUUCAGACUACAAAACUGAUGAUGAAGCAAAAAUAUUUACACUUUGAAGUCAGAAGGAACAGCUUGCUGGGUUGACAGAGGCAAUUGGAGGGAAGUGUGCCCGGAGUUGCUAACGAAUCCAGAAACACAGCGUGGAAUUUAAGUUAGUUAGAAGGAAAGGAAGAUGAAUCCCUGGAAUACAAAUAGUGUUAGUUAACAGUUAUUUCACUCUGAAAGUACUCUCCUUCAAAUAAAUGAGAGAAGUAUUAUUCCUCUACCAAUUUAUAAUGUGUGCAAAUGGGAA